AGCUUGCAGGUAUUGGCCGAGUUUAGCCCUCGGGCUGUAGUCUGACAACCCCUGGCCUUGAAGGAUUCAGGAGGUACAGAAAUUGGAACCUUUGGUCUUCGACUUGUCAGCCGUUGGCUAGUUGAUGAGGAACGUUUUCCUUCUACCGUCAGCUUCCUUGUCACGAAGGCGCUGUGUCGGGCUCUUUGCUCUUUCCGUGCACACCCAGGGUGUGUCCUACCAGGACUGCUCCACUUCUGUCCCCAGACUAGGUGCCUCUGUGGCAGUGAGGUCAUGGCCACAUCCAGGGAGGAGCCGAUGUGUGAUGGGCUGUUCCCCCAGAGCAGCUGCUGCAACAACAUUUACUUUGUACAACGGCCAAGAGAGAGUGCGAGGGAGCAAGCGCGAGUGAGCACGCACGAGCCUUCCCCAUUCCAAAAUGUUUCUGACAAAAUCUGGCACUCCUGGUUCUAAUCAAAAUACUGAACUUUGGAACAAAUUAACAUUCCACAGCACUCGCAGCGAAGGAGAAUUCAG
rnacentral:lncRNA from 1 species